rnacentral:rRNA from 1 species
AUACGGAGGGUGCAAGCGUUAUUCGGAAUCACUGGGCGUAAAGGACGCGUAGGCGGGUUGGCAAGUCAGAUGUGAAAUCCUACAGCUUAACUGUAGAACUGCAUUUGAAACUGCUAACCUAGAGUAUGGGAGAGGGAGAUGGAAUUAGUGGUGUAGGGGUAAAAUCCGUAGAUAUCACUAGGAAUACCGAAAGCGAAGGCGAUCUCCUGGAACAUAACUGACGCUAAGGCGUGAAAGCGUGGGGAGCAAACAGGAUUAGAAACCCGAGUAGUCC